rnacentral:rRNA from 1 species
AUUGAACGCUGGCGGCAGGCCUAACACAUGCGAGUCGAGCGGAUGAAGGGAGCUUGCUCCUGGAUUCAGCGGCGGACGGGUGAGUAAUGCCUAGGAAUCUGCCUGGUAGUGGGGGAUAACGUCCGGAAACGGGCGCUAAUACCGCAUACGUCCUGAGGGAGAAAGUGGGGGAUCUUCGGACCUCACGCUAUCAGAUGAGCCUAGGUCGGAUUAGCUAGUUGGUGGGGUAAAGGCCUACCAAGGCGACGAUCCGUAACUGGUCUGAGAGGAUGAUCUGUCACACUGGAACUGAGACACGGUCCAGACUCCUACGGGAGGCAGCAGUGGGGAAUAUUGGACAAUGGGCGAAAGCCUGAUCCAGCCAUGCCGCGUGUGUGAAGAAGGUCUUCGGAUUGUAAAGCACUUUAAGUUGGGAGGAAGGGCAGUAAGUUAAUACCUUGCUGUUUUGACGUUACCAACAGAAUAAGCACCGGCUAACUUCGUG